UAACUAGAUAGCAUUACAUGGAAAAAGCUAAUGGUAGUUUACCCCAAAAAGGUUACAAUUUAAUUGUGUUUAACAAUUCUUAAAGGACUGACUAUCCCUAGAGCAAGUGGCAAAGGGCUCGGUGGUUGAUAUCUGAUACCCAAGUUCGAAUCCUAGUUGAUUCAUAUUUUCAGCUAAGUUUAUUUUUAAAUGAAAUAAAAACGAAACUGAUAGUGUGCUACCUCUCUCUCUUUCUCUCUCUCUCAAAAAAAA
rnacentral:lncRNA from 1 species